rnacentral:rRNA from 1 species
CCUACGGGGGGCAGCAGUGGGGAAUAUUGGACAAUGGGGGGAACCCUGAUCCAGCCAUGCCGCGUGUGUGAAGAAGGCCCUCGGGUUGUAAAGCACUUUCAGUGAGGAAGAACGCCUGGUGGUUAAUACCCAUCAGGAAAGACAUCACUCACAGAAGAAGCACCGGCUAACUCCGUGCCAGCAGCCGCGGUAAUACGGAGGGUGCGAGCGUUAAUCGGAAUUACUGGGCGUAAAGCGCGCGUAGGUGGCUUGAUAAGCCGGUUGUGAAAGCCCCGGGCUCAACCUGGGAACGGCAUCCGGAACUGUCAAGCUAGAGUGCAGGAGAGGAAGGGAGAAUUCCCGGUGUAGCGGUGAAAUGCGUAGAGAUCGGGAGGAAUACCAGUGGCGAAGGCGGCCUUCUGGACUGACACUGACACUGAGGUGCGAAAGCGUGGGUAGCAAACAGGAUUAGAUACCCUUGUAGUCC